rnacentral:ncRNA from 2 species
CAAGAAGUAGUUUAAGUAGAAUAUCAG